rnacentral:tRNA from 1 species
CGAUGGUUACCCAAGUGGCUAAAGGGGUCGCUCUCGAAAAGCGAUAGGCGAGAAUAUCGUGCGUGGGUUCAAAUCCCACACCAUCGG